rnacentral:rRNA from 1 species
GACAGAGGUGGCUAGCGUUGUUCGGAUUCAUUGGGUGUAAAGGGUGCGUAGGCGGUUUAGAAAGUCAGAUGUGAAAUCCCACAGCUCAACUGUGGAACUGCAUCUGAAACUUCUGAACUAGAGUGCGAGAGAGGUAAAGGGAAUUCCCGGUGUAAGGGUGAAAUCUGCAGAGAUCGGGAGGAACACCAGUAGCGAAGGCGCUUUACUGGCUCGUAACUGACGCUGAGUGCACGAAGGCAUGGGGAGCAAACGGG